rnacentral:rRNA from 1 species
GACGAACGCUGGCGGCGUGCUUAACACAUGCAAGUCGAACGCUGAAGCUUGGUGUUUGCACUGGGUGGCUGAGUGGCGAACGGGUGAGUAAUACGUGAGUAACCUGCCCUUGACUCUGGGAUAAGCUUGGGACACUGGGUCUAAUACUGGAUACGACAUGUCACCGCAUGGUGGUGUGUGGAAAGGGUUUUACUGGUUUUGGAUGGGCUCACGGCCUAUCAGCUUGUUGGUUGGGUAAUGGCUCACCAAGGCGCCGACGGGUAGCCGGCCUGAGAGGGUGACCGGCCACACUGGGACUGAGACACGGCCCAGACUCCUACGGGAGGCAGCAGUGGGGAAUAGUGCACAAUGGGCGGAAGCCUGAUGCAGCGACGCCGCGUGAGGGAUGACGGCCUUCGGGUUGUAGACCUCUUUCAGCACGGAAGAAGCGAAAGUGACGGUACGUGCAGAAGAAGCGCCGGCUAACUACGUG